ACAGGAUUAGAUACCCUGGUAGUCCAUGCCGUAAACGUUGGGCACUAGGUGUGGGGGACAUUCCACGUUUUCCGCGCCGUAGCUAACGCAUUAAGUGCCCCGCCUGGGGAGUACGGCCGCAAGGCUAAAACUCAAAGGAAUUGACGGGGGCCCGCACAAGCGGCGGAGCAUGCGGAUUAAUUCGAUGCAACGCGAAGAACCUUACCCAAGGCUUGACAUGAACCGGAAAGACCUGGAAACAGGUGCCCCGCUUGCGGUCGGUUUACAGGUGGUGCAUGGUUGUCGUCAGCUCGUGUCGUGAGAUGUUGGGUUAAGUCCCGCAACGAGCGCAACCCUCGUUCUAUGUUGCCAGCACGUGAUGGUGGGGACUCAUAGGAGACUGCCGGGGUCAACUCGGAGGAAGGUGGGGACGACGUCAAAUCAUCAUGCCCCUUAUGUCUUGGGCUUCACGCAUGCUACAAUGGCCGGUACAAAGGGUUGCGAUACUGUGAGGUGGAGCUAAUCCCAAAAAGCCGGUCUCAGUUCGGAUUGGGGUCUGCAACUCGACCCCAUGAAG
rnacentral:rRNA from 1 species